rnacentral:pre_miRNA from 1 species
UGCGUAGCCAGAGCAUCAGUCCAAGUCGCUGGAUACGGUCUGAUACUCUUCGCUGCGCGGGA